CACGGGGGGAACGCGAAGAACCUUACCAGGUCUUGACAUCCCAGUGACCGCUCUAGAGAUAGAGUUUUUCUUCGGAACACUGGUGACAGGUGGUGCAUGGUUGUCGUCAGCUCGUGUCGUGAGAUGUUGGGUUAAGUCCCGCAACGAGCGCAACCCUUAUUGUUAGUUGCCAUCAUUCAGUUGGGCACUCUAGCGAGACUGCCGGUAAUAAACCGGAGGAAGGUGGGGAUGACGUCAAAUCAUCAUGCCCCUUAUGACCUGGGCUACACACGUGCUACAAUGGUUGGUACAACGAGUCGCAAGUCGGUGACGGCAAGCAAAUCUCUUAAAGCCAAUCUCAGUUCGGAUUGUAGGCUGCAACUCGCCUACAUGAAGUCGGAAUCGCUAGUAAUCGCGGAUCAGCACGCCGCGGUGAAUACGUUCCCGGGUCUUGUACACACCG
rnacentral:rRNA from 1 species